UGGGGAAUUUUGGACAAUGGGGGCAACCCUGAUCCAGCCAUGCCGCGUGAGUGAAGAAGGCCUUCGGGUUGUAAAGCUCUUUCGCAAGGGAAGAAAAAGCAGGCUCUAACAUAGUCUGUUCAUGACGGUACCUUGAUAAGAAGCACCGGCUAACUACGUGCCAGCAGCCGCGGUAAUACGUAGGGUGCGAGCGUUAAUCGGAAUUACUGGGCGUAAAGCGAGCGCAGGCGGUUUUGUAAGCCAGAUGUGAAAUCCCCGGGCUCAACCUGGGAACUGCGUUUGGAACUGCAAGGCUAGAGUGUGUCAGAGGGAGGUAGAAUUCCACGUGUAGCAGUGAAAUGCGUAGAGAUGUGGAGGAAUACCGAUGGCGAAGGCAGCCUCCUGGGAUAACACUGACGCUCAUGCUCGAAAGCGUGGGGAGCAAACA
rnacentral:rRNA from 1 species